UUCCUGGUGGCCUAGAGGUUAAGGACUUGGCAUUGCCACUGCUGUGGCUCAGGUUCUAUCCCUGGCCUGGGAA
rfam:Sus scrofa chromosome 11.